rnacentral:misc_RNA from 1 species
GAUGAAGAACGUAGCGAAAUGCGAUAAGUAAUGUGAAUUGCAGAAUUCAGUGAAUCAUCGAGUCUUUGAACGCACAUUGCGCCCCCUGGUAUUCCGGGGGGCAUGCCUGUCCGAGCGUCAUUGCUGCCCUCAAGCACGGCUUGUGUGUUGGGCCGUCGUCCCCCUCCUAGGGGACGGGCCCGAAAGGCAGCGGCGGCACCGCGUCCGGUCCUCGAGCGUAUGGGGCUUCGUCACCCGCUCCGUAGGCCCGGCCGGCGCUUGCCGACGACCAUCAAUCUCUUUCUCCAGGUUGACCUCGGAUCAGGUAGGGAUACCCGCUGAACUUAAGCAUAUCAAUAAGCGGACGA